rnacentral:rRNA from 1 species
UACGGAGGGAGCUAGCGUUGUUCGGAAUUACUGGGCGUAAAGCGCACGUAGGCGGAUUUGUUAGUCAGGGGUGAAAUCCCGAGGCUCAACCUCGGAACUGCCUUUGAUACUGCAAAUCUCGAGUCCGGAAGAGGUGAGUGGAAUUCCUAGUGUAGAGGUGAAAUUCGUAGAUAUUAGGAAGAACACCAGUGGCGAAGGCGGACUCACUGGUCCGGUACUGACGCUGAGGUGCGAAAGCGUGGGGAGCAAACAGGG